GCUUCUGGGUCUUUCCAUAGCUGGGUCUCCAUGGAAAUUAGUUUGCAGAAAGGAGCUAUUUUAAGGACAAGCAAAGACAAACCUGCUUCAAGCAUCAGGCAGCCCCAGCGACCAUCCACAUGCAAAGGAGGAGGAGGAAAAAUGGACAGUGUCUCAGUUCCUUUCUUUAAAACGGCGACUGGAAGGCAGCCCUGGAAUCCAAGUCCUGAGACCCAGGUGUGGCUGCCUGUUGG